AUUCAGUGACGAACGGGUGAGUAACGCGUGGAUGAUCUACCUAUGAGAUGGGGAUAACUAUUAGAAAUAGUAGCUAAUACCGAAUAAGGUCAGUUAAUUUGUUAAUUGAUGAAAGGAAGCCUUUAAAGCUUCGCUUGUAGAUGAGUCUGCGUCUUAUUAGCUAGUUGGUAGGGUAAAUGCCUACCAAGGCAAUGAUAAGUAACCGGCCUGAGAGGGUGAACGGUCACACUGGAACUGAGAUACGGUCCAGACUCCUACGGGAGGCAGCAGCUAAGAAUCUUCCGCAAUGGGCGAAAGCCUGACGGAGCGACACUGCGUGAAUGAAGAAGGUCGAAAGAUUGUAAAAUUCUUUUAUAAAUGAGGAAUAAGCUUUGUAGGAAAUGACAAAGUGAUGACGUUAAUUUAUGAAUAAGCCCCGGCUAAUUACGUGCCAGCAGCCGCGGUAAUACGUAAGGGGCAGCGUUGUAA
rnacentral:rRNA from 1 species